UAGGGAAUCUUCGGCAAUGGACGAAAGUCUGACCGAGCAACGCCGCGUGAGUGAAGAAGGUUUUCGGAUCGUAAAACUCUGUUGUUAGAGAAGAACAAGGACGUUAGUAACUGAACGUCCCCUGACGGUAUCUAACCAGAAAGCCACGGCUAACUACGUGCCAGCAGCCGCGGUAAUACGUAGGUGGCAAGCGUUGUCCGGAUUUAUUGGGCGUAAAGCGAGCGCAGGCGGUUUCUUAAGUCUGAUGUGAAAGCCCCCGGCUCAACCGGGGAGGGUCAUUGGAAACUGGGAGACUUGAGUGCAGAAGAGGAGAGUGGAAUUCCAUGUGUAGCGGUGAAAUGCGUAGAUAUAUGGAGGAACACCAGUGGCGAGGGCGGCUCUCUGGUCUGUACCUGACGCUGAGGCUCGAAAGCGUGGGGAGCAAACAGG
rnacentral:rRNA from 1 species